UCCGAUCGCGGUCCAAAAUGAGAUCCGAAUUUCUGCUUGUUGAAAACCCUUUAAGGUCCAUUUCUUACCUUCUUUAUUUAUUUUUCAUAUUUAGUGUGACUGUAUGAUUUAUUCAAAUGAGUGAUGAUUUCUUUUAAUUUUGUUUGUUUGAGAUUAAUUGAAAUGAAUGCUAAGUGAGUGUAUUUGCAGAUGGUACGCAACUUUGAUACUCUUAUGUUAGUGUUCAAAUUACACGAGUAGAUAGUGAAAUUAGGAAAUUAAGAAUUAAAAAAAGGAAGCAAGGUUGGAUAAACUAAUUUGGAUUAUAUCAAAUUAGAUUAAAGGGGCCCGGGUGUGCAUUUCAUGUGACCCGACUUCAAUUCCCAACAAGGUUAAAUAAAACGUGUCGUGAACCGUGGGUGCAUUUCAUGUAGCGUGGCUUACAAUGUGUUUUAAAUAACUUUGAAUUUUCCUGAAAUAUUAAAAGCGGCUAAAAAGUUAAAAUAUGCACAAUAGGUUUAAAACGUGUAAAAAUAUGAUAAUUAGGCCAAUAAUAAUAGUUGAACGACCGUGCUAAAAUCACAUAACCCGGGAAUGCCUAACACCUUCUCCUAGGUUAACAGAAUUCCUUACCCAGAUUUCUGUGUUCGCAGACCAUAAAUAAGAGUCAAACUUCCUCGAUUCGGAUUUUAAACCGAUGACUUAUGACACCCUAAAUUAUCCCAAGUGGCGACUCUAAUUUUAAAUAAAUAAUCCUGUUUCGAUUGUCACUUAAAUUGGAAAAAACUCCCUUAUACCCUUCUCGGGUAGUAAAAAGGAGGUGUGACAACUGCUACGUGUUAAUUAAUAUCUUCUUCUAUAACCAUGUUAGCUCUUUUCAUAAUUCCCCUAAUCCAUGUUAUUUGCUUAACUUGACUUGUUUGCACCUUCUGGUUGUAAAUUGCUGGGUUGGUCUUGUUGUGUAGUAUUAUUUGAGUAGAUUCUAUAUUGAACAAGGUUUCCUUUUCUUGGUUCAGUUUGGUAUUUAUUCAUUGUAAAGGCCUUGUGAUUUAGAUUGUUGAUUUGACUAUGUACAUUGAGUGUUUGGUACUGAUAUGGUGGGAUCGGGAUGCAUGUCGCAGUAGGCGUAAUAAAGAAGGAUUGAUAUGGUGGAAUAAGGGUGAAUAUGUUUAUACGGUGGGAUCAGGUUGCACGCCAUAACAGGUGAAAUAAGAGUGGAUUAAUAUGGAGGAAUAAGGGUGAAUUAUGAUAUUGAUAUUUAUAUAUGGUGGGAUCGGGUUGCGCGCCUUAACAAAUCUGUAUUAUAUACUGUUAUUGAUAUUGUUACGGUGGAAUAAGGGAGGAUUAUUUGUUGUGUGGUGGGAUUGGGUUGCGGAGACUUGAGGUACGGCUGUUCAGCGCCCGCAGCUCCUAGAGUCCCCAUCAUUUUUUCUUUUUAGCUGUAUAAUUUCAUUCAGACAGCUUUAUACUUAUUUCAAACCCUUAUGUGUAUUACUUUAGAAGCUCAUGCACUUGUGACACCAGGUUCAGGGAGUUGUAAUAGACGUUUGGCAGUUUUAUCUUCCGCACUGAUAUUUCAGUUAUUCUAGUUAUCUCUCAUUAUUUAAUUCAAUUGUUAAAAAUGGAUAAAUUGUUCUAAUGUUGGCUUGCCUAGCAAGUGAAAUGUUAUACGUCAUCACGGUUCCGACGGUGGGAAUUCCGGAUCGUGACAUUAUUCCUAACAACAUGUAAAUAAAUUUAUGUAAUCAAAUCUCCUUUUUAUAAUUAGAUAAAUUAAAUGUGCACGACAACUUUUUUUCAAAACACACGGGAUAUUACUUGAAGUAAGUCUAAAAUUCAAUUAAUAAUUUAAUACUUUAACAAUAUAUUCAAUUAAAAAGACGAAAAUAUCCAUCAUGCGAGGUCAAUUGAUGGCUCCAAAGAAGUGAAUUGACACUAAAGAAGUAUUUUGAAAAAAUAGAAGAAAUUGCAAACAUGAGGGGUUGUUUGUUAGUUAUUUGCAGGAUUAGGGGCACUAAGAAGAAUUUUAUCACUAGAGAUGCGGUGUGCAGCCCGAUCCAUAAAUAUAUAUUGAUGCGGUGUGCAGCCCGAUCCAUAAAUAUAUAAUCCUCACAACCAGGCCCUCAGCCUCUCUUAGUCAUUAACCUCACCACUAGACCCUCGAUCUAUCUCAGUCAUUAACCUCACAAGCAGACCCUUGGUCUAUCUCAGUCAAUACCCUCACAAUCACUCGGACCAUCAGUAAAACAGGGAACUCAGCCCAAACAGUUUUCACAUUUUAAAAAUUUAAAAUGAUAAAACUAGGUUUAAACAAUAACAGGUAAAUCAUGACUGAAGAUAUGCUUUCAAAACAAAUAGAGUGAGGAAAAAUAGUAAAAAUGCCCCUAAGGGUCCCAACAGGUCGGCACAAGGCCCCAAACAUGGCAUACAACCUAAAAUGUAAUAUCAAUCUCUAAAAUAUGGAAUAUCAUAAGAUUUCAAAUCGAAUACGCGCCUUAACAGUCGUACGGGACGGACCAAGUCAUGAACCCCAACGGUGCCCGACUCCACGCUUGUCAUCUAGCGUGUGUGUCACCUCAAAGUAGCAUAAUGAUGUGAAAUCUAGGGUUUCAAACCCUCAGGACAGCAUUUACAAUCAUUAUUUACCUCGAUCCGGCCCAAACUCUCCCCCGCGAUGCCUUUGCCCUCACGAAUCGACCUCUGGAUGCUCCAAAUCUAGCCACAAUCAGUGCGUAACCAUUAAAAUAUGCUAAGGGGACAAAGCCCACUCGAAAAUAUCCAAUUUACAUCAAAAAUCCCGAAAUUGCUCAANNNNNNNNNNNNNNNNNNNNNNNNNNNNNNNNNNNNNNNNNNNNNNNNNNNNNNNNNNNNNNNNNNNNNNNNNNNNNNNNNNNNNNAUUCCCCAUUUUUAGCCUUUAAUUUCCACAUAUUUUAUGAUUAAACAAGUAAGAAUCAACAUAGGAUCGAGUAUAGAGUUCAAAAAUCUUACCUCCAUGUGUUAUCUCUUGAAUCUCUCUUCAAAUCUUCUCAAAAAGCUCCAAAAAUCGUUCAACAAUGAAGAAAAUAGACCAAAGCUCGCGAAACACACUUUUAAACAUUCUGCCCCAGGUAAAAACUACCUUCUUCGCGAACAUGGGAUAAUCAUCGCGUUCGCGAUGAACAAAAACACCAGCCAUCAAAAAUGCUCUAUGCGUUCGCGGCACCAACCUUACGAACGCGAUACACAUUGGAAACAGAGUUAUGCGAACACGUCCAAAGACUCGUGAACGCGAUGAAGAAAGGUCCUCUAGCCCGACUCUAUGCGAAUGCGAUAGGCCAUACGCGAACGCGAAGGAGUCCUCCCCUAACACUAUGCGAACGCAGGACACACUUCGCGAACGCGGAGAGAAAUUUGCUGCUGCCAUGCGAAUACACUAUGUGUUCGCGACACGUGCCUCGCGAAUGCGAUGAAGAAUUGAGGCACCAGAUAUCAGCAGAACACAGCUGUGAAACAUGAAGGAAAAAUAGCCCGUAAUCAAUCCAAAAAUGCGCCCGAGCCCCUCGGCACCACAACCAAACAUGCAAAAAUAUCCCAUAACCUCAUUCAAACUUGUUCCAAACUUCGGAACACUCAAAACAACAUCAAAAUACCAAAAUCGCAUCGGAUUCAAGCCUAAGAAUUCCAAGAACUUCCACAUUACGCUUUUGAUAAAAAACCCAACCAAACCACGUCCGAAUGACCGAAAAUUUUGUACACACGUCACAAAUGACACAACGAAGCUACUACAACUUUCAGAAUUUCAUUCCGACCCCUAUAUCAAAAUCUCACCUAUCAAUCGGAAAAUGCCAAAAUCUCAAUUUCGCCAAUUCAAGCUUAAACCUUCCACGGACUUCCAAAAUGCAUUCCAAUCACGCUCCUAAAUCCCAAAUCAGAUAACGGAGCUAACCAAGUCAUAAAAAUUUCGAUCCGAGAUCAUAUACAAACAAGUUAAAUCUUGGUCAAACCUUUCAAAUUUCAAGCUUCAACUAAGGACUGUUCUUCCAAAUUCAUUACGAUUACCCUGAAAACCAAAACCAACGAUAUACAUAAGUCAUAAUCCAUCACGCGAGGCUAGUCAUGCCCGAGAACUGGCGAGCAAAGUGUAAAAGCUCAAAACGACCGGUUGGGUCGUUACACUAGUAUUUCUAUGAAUAGAGUUAUUUAUGGAAAUUGUGCAUUUGCUCGUUUCGUUUGUGACUUAUAGAUCAUGCCAAAAGAAAGAAAGGAUAGCCUUAACAUACCUUUAAGGCCAAUUUUUUACUUGUAUCCAUGAACAAUCUCUUCCACACCUCAAUCAUAAUCACAUAGCAUGUCGGCUAUUUUUGGUAAAGCCUUGUAAUAGAAGUUAUUUAGAGGCUUAGAGCAUAGUGCUAGAACAUUUCCAAAGGUGGUUAAUGAGAUAUCAGUGUCAAGGGAGUGAAAGAGGAAGUUGACGUUGCAGAACAAGAAAAAGUGGGACAUAGUUUUUGCUAAAACUACCGGAAAGUUUGUGUAUAAGUCCCUACAUAAGAAACACACAAAUUUUAUGAAAAAGAGGCUAGUGCAUGUUGCUUGUUCUAAAACAAUUCACGAAGGUAAUGCCCAAAUUUUCUUUCUGUUACUUCUCGUUCACUCUCAUAAUUUUGUAUUAAUAAAAAGUGUUCCAUCAUGUAAGUCUACUGCACUUGAGAAACUCGUAAGAUAUGUUACAAAUUCAAAUGCAAGCAAAAAAUGAGUUUUAUUCUUCCCCAUGAACCCAUUUGUCAAGUACUAUCAUAUAUGUUCAGUGUCAUAAACCUCUAAAAUAAAUUUUUAAACAGUCUUAUAAAUUCUUUUGUGAUUUGUAUCAUCCACAUCCUGGACGGUUCCAUGUGUUACACUUUAAGAUCUAUUAUGUUGUCAAGCCUCCACGUCCACCUGCUAAGCAUUGCUUAGUCAUUCUAGCCACUUAUCUAGAUAUGUAAUUUUUGACCCUCCCCGAGAUUUUAUACAUUUUAGUGUUUAAAUAUUUAGUUUAGGUUUAAUAUCGCUAUUUUAAAUAGUUUUGAUUCUUUUACUUUAUUUUAUCCGAAAAAUAAAAAUGACAAAAAUAUUUUUUUUAUUUAGCUAAUUGAUAUUUUAUCUAGUUACUUUUAUUUUAUAUACCUUUUAUAAAAUUUAAAAAAAUACAAAAAUAGUACCUUAUUUUUAUUUUAAUAUGAUACUUGAAAAUACCAAAAAAAUAGUUGAUUUUGCAUUUUUAGAUAAAUUUUAGAAGGAAAUACCUAAUAUUUUUCAUAUAAUACAUUUAGGUUUAUUGAGUCUAGUUUUGAAUUGAUUUCAAGAAAAUUUAGCCUAUUUUUAGGCCUAUUACUUACCUAUACCAUAUAUCAAACCUUAUUACCCUCAAUGUUUAAGGUUUGUGUUUAUUACAUUUAAGCAUACCAAAUUACCAUUUCUAUACCAUAAUUCAAAUUAGGGAUAUAAUUAAGGGUUCAUUUAUAUUAGGCAUAAUUAUAGGACUGUAUCUUCCCACUUUCUCUUUCCUUUCAUCUCAACUGUUCACAACACACACACACACACACAACUCACGAUGCUCCUAUGCUUCCUCUCGUUGAUCACUCCCCAACUCGCCCACCACCGUUGAAGAAUAUCAUAUUUUCAGAUUCAUAAGAAAAUUUUAAAUUCUUUGAUCGAACCGCUUGAAUUCCCACUGGAAAUAAUAAUGGCAGAGAGUUCGAAAUUCUUUGACCUCUUUUUUUUUGGGCAGUGGUUGAAGGUUACUGGUGAACACAGUCGAUUGAAACUCGAAGAAGAAGAAGAAGNNNNNNNNNNNNNNNNNNNNNNNNNUAGUCAAAUUGUAGUCAAAUUAGAAAAAUUGUAGAUAAAUUUUGUAGACUGUUUUUUGCAGAAGAUUUUGUAGAAGCUUUAGUCGUUUUGGAUUUGUGAAAACAGAAAAUAAUGCAUCUACAAUCAGAAUACAAAUAAUCUACAAUUUAUCUACAAAAUAUCUACAAAAUAGAUACAUUGAAUUUUAAUAUCCAAAUUCUCAUUUCAAUUGUAGCAUAAUUGGCAUUUUCGACAUAAUUGUAGAAGAUUUGUAGAAGUUUUAGUCUUCCCAAUCUACAAUUCAUCUACAAUUUUUCUACAAUUCUACAAUUUAACUACAAUUUAUCUACAAUUUCUGAAAAUACGUCUUCUUCUUCUUCUUCUUCGAGUUUCAAUCUAAAAUUCAGUCAAAAUCAAGUCUAAUCUUCACCAAAACCCCUCAAAAUUGAGAUAUAAACUCCUAAACAUAUUCCGAAUUAUUUACAACAACACUCAAUCCAAACAAAUAAUAAUUUUUGAAAACCCAAAUUUGAAUUCAAAGUUUUCAAGCUUUUUAAUGGUUAUCAAUGGUGAAAAAUAUAUGGAAGAACAGAUGAAGAUGGAGAUGAAGAUGAAGAACAAAAAUCUCCUUUCCAUUUGAUUACUGGAGCUUUAGUAGCUUGCGUUUUUUGAGAAUUGUAGUUGAGUGAGAGAAGAGAGAUCUCUUUCCGUUGAGGAAGGAGAGAAUUACGCAGCAAUUCGAAUUUAAUGUUGACAGAAUCACACGCAGAUCUGGUGCCUUCAUUUUAGCGCGUUUUUUAUGGCAAAAUCUACCUAUUUUUGGAUUGGUAUAUAAUUUAUAGUAAAAGUGUAGACUACACGGAUAAAUAACAAAUUAUGAACAUUUUUGAUAAUAAGGUUUGAUAUAUGGUAUAUAUAGGUAAAAAUCCCUUUUCGAAUCCCUUAUCCCAUUAACCCCAAGCCCAAAUUCCUAACCAUUAGAACCCCUAGACCCUCUCUUCUUCUAAAAGCUGGAGACCCAAAACACAAAAAAGGGACCCUAAGACCUAAAUGAGACCCUGGCGCCUCUUCUCCUUCUUCAUAUAGAAAAAACAGAACCCUAGAGAAGCGAGAGCCCCAGCCGCAAAACCCAAAAACCUGUACCAUCUUCUUCACCAUUAGAAGACCCCAACCCAAAAACACCAUAAGCAGUCGCAGCUACUCACCCCGACCUCGUCUCCAUCGUCUCCAGCCGCUCUCGACAGCCGCAAUUCCUCCAACGACCCCUUCCUCUUAACCUCUGAAUCUCUUCAUCCCUACACCAAAACCAGCCGCUGCUCGUCUUCCACACACACACACACGUACCAAAACAACAAAAACCAGAAGUUUCGGACAGAGUUUAGGAAAAAUUAACAAAAUACACAAAGAUUUAGUCCAUUUUUCUUCCGAUUUUGAUCUGAAGCAUGGAGUUGGAUUGAGUUCCGGUGGUGUUCGGUUUCGAGGUUUUGGUUGUCGUUCGUGAUUCGAGUUCGUGAUUCCGAUUUCAAUUAUUGUUGUCUCAUUUGUUCUAUGUUGCACGUUAAAAUAGCUUCCGAACAAGAUUAAAUAAAAGCUCGACUCAGGUUAAUUCUUCUCUUCUUCUUAUUGUUAUGGUGACGAUCUAUGCACGAUGAAAGCUUGAGGCUAAAUGGCCAAAAAUCAGUUUGAAUCGGUUUGAAUCUAAUUGUUUUCGUGUUCAUAUGCUUAUUUGACCAUGAUGUUAAUUUUCAGAGUUUCGAAGUUUAAGUUUUGAGUUGAUUUAACCGGAUAAAGGAUCUAUUGAAUCAUUGAGAUUUGGCUUGUAUAUUAAGUUUUUGUUAAUUCUGCUCAUGAGAUUGUGGUGUCUAUCGUAUCACUGUAAUUUGGCUCUUGUGCAUAUUUUGUUAGUUUUGUUUAUCAUUGUGGUGUCAAUUAGCUUUGUUCAGGAAAUGUACAGAGUUGGGACUUUUUGACCUCAAUAUUCUUUCCUCUUAAUCAAGGAUGAGUUCUAUUUUCAUUCUUGUCAUCAGUUCCAUUGUUGUUUAAUAUCUUGCUUUGAAUAUGGUUAGGUAAGAAAUUAACUUGGAACAUUAAUUGAAAGUGUUUCUAACAGUAGGGGUUGGAUUUAAAAACGUAAAGAAAUUUGAUAUUCUCGCUGUUUUGGAUAUUGAAUUGGAUCGUGGGUGUUUGGGUUUAAAAGUUAAUAAAUUAUAAGCAUUCCUAAUUUGCUAUAGGCGCGAUUAACACUUUAUCUUGGCCAUAGGUAUGGUUCCCGUGGCAUGGUCACGACAUGUAAAUCUCAUUCGGGUGUGCAUUUCAUGUGACCCGAUCACAACUUCUAAUAAUGUUAAUAAAUUGAACAUGUUGUAGAUUGUGGGUACGGUUCCCGUGACACGAUUCGCAAUGUGUACAAAACAAACAAAUGUACGACAAUCCUAACUUGUUCUAGGAAUAAUUCCAUAAAUGUUUAAAGGCGGUUAAAAGCUAAAAAUGCACAAUAGGUAUAAAAUAUGUUAUUAAUAAGAUAUUUAGGCUAAUUAAUAAUAGUUGAGCGACUGUGCUAAAACCACAGAAUCCGGGAAUGCCUAACACCUUCUCCCAAGUUAACAGAAUUCCUUACCCAGAAAUCUGUGUUUCACGGACUGUAAAACAGAGUUAAAUAUUCCUUACCCUUACAUAAUCAGUACAUUAUUCGUACUGACGUCCCUUUUACUGGGGACGUUGCGUUUCAUGCCCGCAGGUCCCGAUAGACUGGUCGAGAGCCCUCCAAGUAGGCUAUCAACUCAGCAAAAGAUGUUGGUGCGCUCCAUUUGCUUUGGAGUUGCUCGUUUGGUUAGUAUGAUUUAGACGUGUAUUGUUUGGUAUGGCGGAACUCUGUCCCGACCCUUAUGACAUUUAUGUAUUCUUAGAUGCUUGUAGACAUAUGUCGUAUACAUAAAAGAUUGUACGGCCUUGUCGGCCUAUGUUUUGAGUUUAUAAAGGAUCAUGCUGGCCUAUUAGGACCGUAUGCAUGUGUAUAUGAUGAUGUAUUAAAAAAGAUACGUUACAUUGGUACUCAGUUGAGUAAGGUACCGGGUACCCGUCCCGGCCCAUCGGUUU
rnacentral:lncRNA from 1 species